AUGGCUGGUAAUGCUGAGCUCUUUCUGGAUAGGACAGAGGUACAAUAUUUACAUCCAUGGCAGAAGGUUCUUAAGCCUGAACUCAUCAAAGGUCCUUGGACUCAAGAGGAAGAUGACAAAAUUAUUGAUCUUGUAAGCAAGUAUGGACCAACAAAAUGGUCUCAUUGCAAGGACCUGCAGAAGGACCCUCCCACCUCAGCGCAGGUCCUGUAG
rnacentral:rRNA from 1 species